rnacentral:misc_RNA from 1 species
UCUUGAGGCUCUUCCUCACUUUC